AAGAAGCGCGCCCCCGGGCUGGAAGUUCUCCUGGGGGCGGGCGUCCCCCCGGAGUCUGCGGCAGAUGGGGGAGGCCCCAGUGGGGCGCACGUGGAUGAAUUUCUGGGAGGAAACCAUGUACCAUCCGCUCUCGCUCGCUGCCAUCCAGUGUUUUCUUCCCUCAUCAUUCUAUCUGGGAGCCGAAAAUGGACCUUAAUCAUGACUGCGGAAUGCAAGAGCAGUGCCCAAGCGGUCCGUCUGAAUCGGAUGCACAGACGCACCUUCUUUUCCCCUGAAACAGGGAACCUCUGGAGAAAGAGUAAGGCAUCGGGGCACAGUGAUGGUCUGAAACUCGGUGGAGGUCCCGGCUCUGCCACUUGUGAGCUGGGACAGCUUGGUCUUAUGGCUUGACUGCUCUGAGCUGCUGGUUCCCAAUCUGCAUCAGGUGAAUAGGAGCAGUACUCACCACGCAGGGGUCUCAGGAUUAAGGAAAAUCAAGUCCAUCGUACCUGGCACAAGGUAGCUGUGACCAUUACCACGUCAACCUCAGUCCCCCUCCACACACUGUGAUAGCAACCUCCAGGUGGUUCGUGCUUCACAAUUGUCCGAGGAUUUUCAAGAGCACUUUCGUGGGGGCUCCAUUCAGCUCCCCAGUUUGCAUGAUGCUUAGCUAUG